GGCCUUAAAAAAUUUCCCCCCAAAGGCAAUGUUUUUUACAUUGAUUGUAUAGAAAAAGGAGGCACAGUAAACACACUCCAUAUAUGCCUCAGUCCAGUUUGCCUGGUCUUUACUGUGUGAAUAGGGGAGACACGG